rnacentral:rRNA from 1 species
AGAGGGUGCAAGCGUUAAUCGGAUUUACUGGGCGUAAAGCGCGCGUAGGCGGCCAAUUAAGUCAAAUGUGAAAUCCCCGAGCUUAACUUGGGAAUUGCAUUCGAUACUGGUUGGCUAGAGUGUGGGAGAGGAUGGUAGAAUUCCAGGUGUAGCGGUGAAAUGCGUAGAGAUCUGGAGGAAUACCGAUGGCGAAGGCAGCCAUCUGGCCUAACACUGACGCUGAGGUGCGAAAGCAUGGGGAGCAAACAGGAUUAGAUACCCUGGUAGUCCAUGCCGUAAACGAUGUCUACUAGCCGUUGGGGCCUUUGAGGCUUUAGUGGCGCAGCUAACGCGAUAAGUAGACCGCCUGGGGAGUACGGUCGCAAGACUAAA